rnacentral:lncRNA from 1 species
UAAAGCCGGGUUUUUCAGACAACGCGUGUCUGAAUACACCCAAUAAAGUCAAAAUACACAAUCUCACGAAGUGCCAAUGGCAACUCUCUCUCUCCCACCCACAGAGCGUAUCCAGAGUGGUGGGCCGCGAAUGCAGCCACCCAAUCAGCCGCCCCGUUGGCCUCCCUGAAUACAUGCUUGGCCUCAAAGGCCACGCCAUCCCUCACCAUCAUCCUAAUGUCCCGGAUCAGAGGAUGGUCGAUGCUCUCACCACUCAGUCCCCG